rnacentral:rRNA from 1 species
UACGUAGGGGGCGAGCGUUGUCCGGAUUCAUUGGGCGUAAAGAGCUCGUAGGCGGCUUACUAAGUCGAGUGUGAAACCUCCAGGCUCAACCUGGAGCCUGCAUUUGAUACUGGUAUGGCUUGAGUCCGGUAGGGGACCACGGAAUUCCUGGUGUAGCGGUGAAAUGCGCAGAUAUCAGGAGGAACACCGGUGGCGAAGGCGGUGGUCUGGGCCGGCACUGACGCUGAGGAGCGAAAGCGUGGGGAGCGAACAGG